AAGACAGAAAGUAAGGGUUUGC
rnacentral:miRNA from 1 species